GGGCUCUUACAAGCUGCAGCGACAGCUUCAGAUAGGUCACGGUGGGAGCAUUUUCACCACGGACAUUUGGCAAAUGUUACAAAUUAGAGGUCUCUCCAUCCCACCGCUCCCCGUGGAAAGCCCCUCUCUAACUCCAAAUACGGUAACCCGGGACGGCGAAGGUAGCCUGCGAGCAGGGAUUUUCUCAGACAAACCACGAAGGAUGGAAUCGAUGUCACCGAGAAGAGAUACAUUCCUGGAAAAGGGAGUUUGUGGGGAAGAAGUUUUUUUAACCCCCCUAGAACAGCCGAUACCCCAGGUCAAGGGCCCUGCGUCAGAAACAGCUGGGUUCGGGCGACAGCUCUUGGGCUCCUAAACCGUGUGACCACGAGCCUCACAUCUCAAUGCCCAGUUUCCCUGUCUGCAGGUGUGGUUAAUAGUAACAUCUGUCUCCAAUGGAAUCGUCAGGCGAUGCAUUUAAAUCUUAGAGCGUUGCCCGGCACAGAGGAAGCGCUCCAUCUAUGUUAACCACGACCAGUUAUUGAUUAGAACCCCACAACCUCAGCAGGGACGGAGCUGAUCUUCCUAUCUUCCUCCUAAGACCAGUUUCACCUUUAGGUGCCCUUCCCAGGGCUGGGAGGCGGGGAUUGGCUCCUCUGUCCUCCCCAGCAGCUACGCUUUGACCUGAGCUUCCUCUGGGCUCCUCACGUGUGCCUGUCCCCUGCGAUCAGUACAACGAACAAAGUAUCCCCUAGAACACAGAGAGUCAUACGGUGGCUCCCUGAAUGCACAAGCGUUAAGGAUGUCAGCGGUAGACACCCGCAGAAGCCAAAGGUGUUCUGGAGAGGAGUUCCUGGCCGGCUAAGGUGUCCAGUAGGUGGAUGAUCCCCAUACCCGAAUAUGGGGAUUAGGAGGUACAAACUUCCAGUUACAAAAUAAAUAAGUCGGACGCACGCACAAAAGAUAUCCACUAUAUGCCUGGCCCUGUGACUGCCACAUAGUAAUCGAUGUUAACUGAAGGCAGAGAUGAAUGGCAGAUGAGCACAUGGUCUUGAUUCCACUCUAUGAAAACACUCAGCACAUCCAACCAACCUGACGUUUGCAGGAGAGCUGGGAUCCUGUGAGGUGCUGCCGUGCAGCAAGCAUCUGGACUAUGUGCAAGAUAGAGAGGACACGUCGAAGGCAUCCCCUUUCCAGCUACAAACCCAGCAUUGUGCAUGCUCGUCCCUGCGAUGGCCCUCAGCCUGCUGGCUGACGGAGGCUGUCCUGGCUGUGCUUGCCGGCAUCAUUCUUGUCGAAAGUACUAGAUGGCUACUGUUGUGUUCAGCAAACAGCCGGUGCCUCAUGCCAAAUGUAGUC